CUUUUCUCUUGCGUGUUUCCCCUCGUCGCGACGGGACGGGUUUAUGACAGUUUGUGGAUGCAGCCCGGGAAACUGAUGAAACUUCUACGUCGAAGGGAGGAGUCAGGAUCUGAGCUCAAGCCUGACAUUGGAAAACAUCUCCCAUAAACGGUCACCAGGCUGCUCAUCAUGGCGCACACCUGUCACCAUCGUUACGUGCACCUGCACGUCAUUAGACUCACCUGGACUCCAUCACUUCGCUGAUUACCUUUACUGUAUAUGUCAUUCCCUUUGAUUCCUUCCUGAGGCGUCAUUGUUUCUGUUUCAUGUCUGUGCGUUGUUCAUGUUUUGUAUUGUUUUCAUUUAUUUAUUAAAUGAUUCACUCCCUGAACUUGA